UUGCUAUGGAAUGUUUACUAUAGUUGCUAUGUUUUGUCUCCAGGUGCAUCAUUUUAAUAAGAUCAUCAUUUCAACCCAAACAAAACCAAUCAGUCAAGAAACAUUUUGUCUCCUGUUUCACUGCGACUAUUUUCAUCCACAUGAUGUUUAAAGACACAGAGAAAGUGAAGAAACCAACCCAAUAAAGUUCCAUCAUGGAAAAUCACCAGCACUGUUCUACAGCUGCCAGCCUGCCCCAGAAGCGGAAGCAGACCUCUGUGGCCCGUUCUUCCCAGUCUUCUGCUGGGCAUCCAGAGGAGCUGGAUCAGGUCCCAAGAGGCAUCAUUCCAGCAUCCUACCUGCUGACCUCCCAGUGGCCUCCACUGUGGCCCUCAGUUUCCAGCCCUGUCAGGAUGUACAACGGAUCAGUGGAGGAGUACCAAGCGUAUUUACCAUGAAGUGGUAGAUGAUAUGCUAAGGUACAAGAAUGGACAGCUACGUCAAUGGUCCAUAGUCCUGGGACGUCCUGACUUCACUGCCUUGUUCAGUGAUGAUGGACAUGUGGCUGUCGACCAGUGUUUCGGGGUGUCCAUCCCCCAUGUCCCACUGUCAACAUCUCUGGGGAGCCUCAGCCUUCCAACCAACCAUGGAAGAGAACCAAGAAGUAGUAGUCGGAAUUAAAGACACUAAAAAAUAAGAUUGAACUUUUAAAUAGUUAGUUAAAACUGUAAAUAGUUUGAAUUCACCUCCACCGAAACAAGCAACCUCUACUAACCAGUUAAAGUACUAAAGCAGGCUGCCUGCUCCUGCCGAUUGAGGCAACAAGCUGUA